UACGAAGGGGGCUAGCGUUGCUCGGAAUCACUGGGCGUAAAGCGCACGUAGGCGGCUUUUUAAGUCAGGGGUGAAAUCCUGGAGCUCAACUCCAGAACUGCCUUUGAUACUGAGAAGCUUGAGUUCGGGAGAGGUGAGUGGAACUGCGAGUGUAGAGGUGAAAUGCGUAGAUAUCCGGAGGAACACCGGUGGCGAAGGCGGCUUCCUGGACCGACACUGACGCUGAGGCGCGAAAGCCAGGGGAGCAAACGGG
rnacentral:rRNA from 1 species